ensembl:snRNA U6 U6 spliceosomal RNA
GUGCUUGCUUUGGCAGCACAUGUACUAAAAUUAGAAUGAUAUAGAGAAGAUUAGCAUGGCCUUUGCGCAAGGAGGACACACAAAUUCAUGAAGCAUUCCAUUUGUAA